rnacentral:rRNA from 1 species
GACGAACGCUGGCGGCGUGCCUAAUACAUGCAAGUCGAGCGAACAGACGAGGAGCUUGCUCCUCUGACGUUAGCGGCGGACGGGUGAGUAACACGUGGAUAACCUACCUAUAAGACUGGGAUAACUUCGGGAAACCGGAGCUAAUACCGGAUAAUAUAUUGAACCGCAUGGUUCAAUAGUGAAAGACGGUUUUGCUGUCACUUAUAGAUGGAUCCGCGCCGCAUUAGCUAGUUGGUAAGGUAACGGCUUACCAAGGCAACGAUGCGUAGCCGACCUGAGAGGGUGAUCGGCCACACUGGAACUGAGACACGGUCCAGACUCCUACGGGAGGCAGCAGUAGGGAAUCUUCCGCAAUGGGCGAAAGCCUGGCGGAGCAACGCCGCGUGAGUGAUGAAGGUCUUCGGAUCGUAAAACUCUGUUAUUAGGGAAGAACAAAUGUGUAAGUAACUAUGCACGUCUUGACGGUACCUAAUCAGAAAGCCACGGCUAACUACGUG